UACAGGGGGGGCAAGCGUUGUUCGGAAUUACUGGGCGUAAAGGGCUUGUAGGUGGCCAACUAAGUCCGACGUGAAAUCCCUAGGCUUAACCUAGGAACUGCGUCGGAUACUGGAUGGCUUGAAUCCGGGAGAGGGAUGCGGAAUUCCAGGUGUAGCGGUGAAAUGCGUAGAUAUCUGGAGGAACACCGGUGGCGAAGGCGGCACCCUGGACAGACACUGACGCUGAGGAGCGAAAGCCAGGGGAGCAAACGGG
rnacentral:rRNA from 1 species